UACGUAGGGUGCAAGCGUUGACCGGAAUUAUUGGGCGUAAAGGGUGCGUAGGCGGUUUGGUAAGUCUGUUGUGAAAUCUCUGGGCUCAACUCAGAGUCUGCAAGGGAAACUGCCGGGCUGGAGUGUGGGAGAGGUGAGUUGAAUUUCCGGUGUAGCGGUGAAAUGCGUAGAUAUCGGAAGGAACACCUGUGGCGAAAGCGGCUCACUGGACCACAACUGACGCUGAUGCACGAAAGCUAGGGGAGCAAACAGG
rnacentral:rRNA from 1 species